GAGUUUCUAUUUUUUAUUCGGGUUUCAUCUCUUCGCAAUUGCUCAGAACAAAGCGCUUUUAUAAAAAAGAAAGUUUACUCAGGCUUGUAUCCCCCUCCCUCCCCGACCUCUUUUCUACCACUCCACCUUUGUCUCUUCUUCCUUUUCCUCGAAACGCCCUCCUUGCACCACCGGUUUGUGCUUCUCUCUCUGGAGGCUUCGUUGAGCCGACGCCACAGGCUCGUGAACUGUUGAGCUCACCCUCGUCAUCUUGUCGGAUUUUUCUUCCUUCUUUACAAGUCUCACUUCUCGCGCCGUCUCCACCACGCCAUGAUCCAGCCACAGCUUGUGCUUCUCCGCGAAGGUACGGACACCUCGCAGGGUAAGCCGCAGCUCAUCAGCAACAUCAAUGCCUGCAUCAGCAUCGUGGACACCGUGAAAUCUACCCUCGGACCAUGCGGCAUGGAUAAGCUCAUCCACAACGGACGCGAUGUUCAGAUCAGUAACGACGGCGCCACUAUCAUGAAUCUGCUCGAAAUUGUGCACCCAGCUGCAAAGAGUCUCGUGGACAUUGCGCGUGCGCAAGACAACGAGGUGGGCGAUGGUACGACCUCUGUCGUCGUUCUCGCUGGCGAACUGCUGAAGGAGUCGAAGCAGUGCGUGGAGGACGGCAUUGCGCCGCAGGUGAUUGUCAAAGCCUACCGCAACUCCCUCAGCAUUGCGAUAAAGGCGCUGGAUGAGCUUUGCGUCCCGUUCAAGGCUGAGGGCAACUCGAACGAGGAGAACUUGAUUCGCUGUGCCGAGACCGCGCUCAACUCGAAGCUGAUCAACACAGAGCGGCGCUUCUUCGCCGAGAUGGCGGUGAAGGCUGUGAUGGCGCUAAAUGAGGACAUGAACCUUGACCUCAUUGGCAUCAAGAAGGUGGCCGGCGGUAGCAUGCGCGACAGCCUGCUGGUGGACGGUGUUGCGUUCAAAAAGACUUUCUCCUACGCUGGUUUCGAGCAGCAGCGCAAGAAGUUCGACAACCCGAAGGUGCUGCUGCUGAACGUGGAGCUGGAGCUCAAGGCCGAAAAGGAUAAUGCAGAGGUGCGCCUCAAGGACCCGAAACAGUACCAGUCUAUAGUCGAUGCAGAGUGGAAGAUCAUCUUCGAUAAGCUGGACAAGUGUGUGGCUACGGGCGCCAAUGUGGUGCUCUCUCGCCUGCCUAUCGGCGACUUAGCCACGCAGUACUUUGCAGAUCGAGACAUCUUCUGUGCCGGCCGCGUGGCAAACGACGACAUGACGCGCAUGUGCAUGGCUACCGGCGGUGUGGUGCAGUCUACGCUUAACAAUGUCCCGGCUGGGGUACUCGGCACAUGUGGCACGUUUGAGGAGCGUCAGGUCGGUACGGAGCGCUUCAACUUCUUUACCGGGUGCAAGAGCUCGAAGACAUCCACCGUGAUUCUGCGCGGCGGUGCCCAGCAGUUCAUUGAAGAGGCUGACCGCUCCUUGCACGACGCCAUCUGUAUAGUGAAGCGCGCAAUCAAGACCGGCUCUGUCGUCGGUGGCGGUGGUGCCAUCGAGAUGGAACUGAGCAAGAAACUGCGCGAGUACUCGCGGACGAUCAAGGGUAAGGAGCAGAUGGUGGUCUCCGGAUACGCCCGCGCGCUGGAGAUCAUUCCGCGCCAGCUCGCUGAGAACGCCGGCCACGAUAGCACUGACACAGUGAACAAGCUGCGCCAGAAGCACUACGUGACCUCUGAAAAGGACAGCCAGUGGUAUGGCGUCGACAUCUUCAACGGUGGUGUGUGCGACACUUUCGCUAACUUUGUGUGGGAGCCUACGCUGGUGAAGCGGAACGCGCUGCAGAGCGCCACAGAGGCGGCUUGCCUGAUUCUCUCGAUCGAUGAGACCGUGACGAACCCAGAAUCGGACGCUGCCAAGAAGCAGGCGGUUGGCGGCGGCGGUCGCGGUGGCAACAUGGCCAUGAGCAAGGCGGGCAUGGGCGGCAUGUUUGCUGGUGCCCCAGGCGUCACACGCAUGAAGGGCGGUCGUGGCAAGUAGGCGCGUAUGCACCUGCUUGCUCUCCUCAUGCCACCACCGCCGGCCGUGGUGCUUGAUGUGUCUCGUGUGCUACGAGGGCGUGCAAGGAGAUGGAAGCGACGAAGGUCAGGGAAGCGCGACGCGUAGCUGCACCCCUUCACGGUGUAGCAGCCGCAGAACGGACGCGCUGCAUGCUUGACCUCCUUUGUUGUUUUCUUCUGUUGACGAGUACGAUUUCUUUGCAUGGGGAAGCUCAAUGCCUAAUAGAACAAGCGAUGCCGUUGAGCCUCGUGAGGCAGAACGAAAAGCUCAAGGGCGAGCGGAGAGAUGCUUGGCAUGGUAACAGAAACACCACAAAAGGUCCGCUUUCUCCUGUUCCCUCGCCGUGUUCGUGGUUUGUUGUCUCGGUCCUUCUCUCUGCCACAGACUUCCGGUGUACCUUCCGCGUACGCUAUGAUGACAUGCAGUCAGAGAGAGAGAGUUCCCCUCCCGCUCCCCAAUGCAUUGCCGUCGGGCCCUUCCUUUGGCGCCUCUCUCACAAACACAAGGGUACAUACGAUUCUCUCGUGAAUUCUUGGCCGCUUCGUAUGCUUGUGCUUGGUGCACCUCAUCGCCUCUCCCCGCGUUCUCCGAGAUCGGGCUGUCUGCCAUGGCGAAUAGAACUGGAGAGUCGAGGGGUGGGGACACGUAGGAAGAGAAGGCGCCUCUCAACACGGAAGCCAGCACAUAGAGGGAGAAGACGAGACGAUGGCGCACAGAAAGGCGUUGAUGGAGAGAACACAGCAUCAUAGGCAGUGGUGUGCGUAUGUGUGUGCACGGGUGAUACAGAGUGCACGAGGAAUAGAACGGGCAGCUUCUCCUUUAGGUUAUCUCCCUUGUUGGCGUAGUGUAUUGAGCUGUAACUGCCGUUUGCUCGCUCGUUGUUUUUCUCUUCUUUCUUUUUUUUUCUUUUCCGUUCCUUUAGUCUUAAAACGCGCGCACCCCUCGGCAGCCCACACACCCACAGUCAACGGAUAGCUCUUGUAAGUAAUGCGCCGACGCUGACACCGAGCCACACUCCCCCUCCGUGCCGGGAAGAAGACAGACAAAAAGGACACAUGCGCAAACACGACGAAAGCCCGAUAGAUGACACAGAUAACGCGAAGACUUCACCCCGACGUCUCGAGCCUGCAGCGCUUCUGUGUGAGGUUUCUACACACACCUACACGCAUACAUACGCCCCUCAUGCGCUCCACUGCGGUGGGAAAAAAGAGGCACGCCGGCUCAGGAGCUUCCUGCUGCCUGCGCCCACUCACCCUCGCUCUCUCCUACGACCUAUCCAAGUGACUUAUGCUCACCGGGGCACGGUUUCAUGCUCCCUAUCGCGCUAGCACCCCUCCUUGGUUGUAAGAGGGACGCGAGGUGA
rnacentral:misc_RNA from 1 species